rnacentral:lncRNA from 1 species
AAGCUAUUAUCCUGCCUCAGCCUCCCAAGUAGCUGGGAUUACAGGUGCCUUUUGAGCCCUGAGCUAGUGUAAAGAUGUGGCUACUCUGAAGCCACUGUAAUGGAGACAUGUGAAGAAACACCUAGAAACAGAAAGCGAUGACCAACGAGCACCAGCUAUUCCAAGGGCGACUUGUGUGAGACUUCCUUGCUCAACUCAAGACCUGUUAACUCAAAUCUACUGGGAGAAGCUGACUAUAAGAAGAGCAUCUGAUAGAUAUUCCAGCUCAGCUGCAUACAGAGACUUCAUCAGCUCAUGUCAUGCCCAGAGUUAGCCUUUCAGUUCCAAGGCUAUUUUUCCCAUUUCCUUAUUCACUGUGCUCCCUGACUUCAAGUUCAAUGCCAGGAUUGUGGAAUCAGGUCAUUUGAAUAAAACAUAAAAAGUAUUAUUAGGUACAGAGCUAAAUGUAGGUCAUAUUUGAGAACAAAUAAUAUUAUAUUUAAUCAUCUAAAAAAAGCUAAGAGGAAUUCUGUUAUCAAGGAAAUAUUUGUUUUCUUUGACUUAAAUGCUGCUUAUAGUCCUAAUAUUCCAUAGUUUCUUUGAAGCUAAUAUUUUGCUUUUAAUUAUGAAAAUCAGUUAGGAAUAUUGAGGUACACAGAUAAAAAUGGUAUUAGUAUAAACAUGCAAUUUAUAAAAUAGGAAAUCAAUGAUGCUAAUAAGCAUAAGAUAUACUCAAAAUUAUUAGUACUCACAAAAAUAAAAAUUAAAAAACACAGUAAGCUACUAUUUAUAUCUAUUUGGCUAAAAGAAUCAGAAAGCUGGAUAUUGCCUUACGCUAGCAGUGAUGUUGGUAUAUAGAAAUUCUGACACAUUUCUGAAGACAAUAUAGACUAAUAUAGCCAUUGUGAAGAGCAACCUGUAAAGUCAUUUAAAUGUGCAUAUAAUUUAUGAUUAGGGUAAACAUACAACUUUGAGAUUGAAAGAGGAAGCUAUUUAUAUUUACUCUGAGACAAUAAACUUAUUUCAAGCCUGUUCCAAGCAAGGUAACUGUAUAUGUCAACUUAUUUAUGACAGUAAUUUUGUUCUUAGGAACCGUAUUCCAAAGAAUUUUACUCAAAGAUCUAUAGAUGUAGGCAUACAAGAAUCAAUAUGGAAGAGUAGAAAAAUGAAUAUUUUUGUUAAUACUCAAACACUAACUGAAAUAAAACUAACUAAUUAAUUUAUAUUGAUACUCCCAGUUAUGGCAAUACAAUAGUAUAACUUUUUAUUAGUUCUUAUUUGAUUAUCGUGGGAUUUAAUAUUUUAAUAAAUUAAAUGGCUGUUAUUACUAAUUUCUUUUUGGUAAUUUUCUC